UGCAGUCGAACGAUGAUCCCAGCUUGCUGGGGGAUUAGUGGCGAACGGGUGAGUAACACGUGAGUAACCUGCCCUUGACUCUGGGAUAAGCCUGGGAAACUGGGUCUAAUACCGGAUACGACCAUCUGGCGCAUGUCAUGGUGGUGGAAAGCUUUUGUGGUUUUGGAUGGACUCGCGGCCUAUCAGCUUGUUGGUGGGGUAAUGGCCUACCAAGGCGACGACGGGUAGCCGGCCUGAGAGGGUGACCGGCCACACUGGGACUGAGACACGGCCCAGACUCCUACGGGAGGCAGCAGUGGGGAAUAUUGCACAAUGGGCGCAAGCCUGAUGCAGCGACGCCGCGUGAGGGAUGACGGCCUUCGGGUUGUAAACCUCUUUCAGUAGGGAAGAAGCGUAAGUGACGGUACCUGCAGAAGAAGCGCCGGCUAACUACGUGCCAGCAGCCGCGGUAAUACGUAGGGCGCAAGCGUUAUCCGGAAUUAUUGGGCGUAAAGAGCUCGUAGGCGGUUUGUCGCGUCUGCUGUGAAAGACCGGGGCUCAACUCCGGUUCUGCAGUGGGUACGGGCAGACUAGAGUGCAGUAGGGGAGACUGGAAUUCCUGGUGUAGCGGUGAAAUGCGCAGAUAUCAGGAGGAACACCGAUGGCGAAGGCAGGUCUCUGGGCUGUAACUGACGCUGAGGAGCGAAAGCAUGGGGAGCGAACAGGAUU
rnacentral:rRNA from 1 species